GUCAGGAUGGCCGAGUGGUCUAAGGCGCUGCGUUCAGGUCGCAGUCUACUUCUGUAGGCGUGGGUUCGAAUCCCACUUCUGACA
rfam:Drosophila pseudoobscura pseudoobscura strain MV2-25 chromosome XR unlocalized genomic scaffold ChXR_group6, whole genome shotgun sequence.